AGUUAUCAUAGCUAGCUGUGAUAUUGUAGAUAAAAGGUGAAAGAAACUUAGAUGACCUACUGAGAAUUUGACUAUGGACAAAGUUAUUGUGCCAGAUAUGAUCAGAAAGUCAAAGCAUGAACCGAAGUUAGAUCACAAAUGGAGUAUCUGCAAAAACACCAUGAAAGUAUGGACUAUGAUAUGUUAUCUAGAGAAUUGUUG
rnacentral:misc_RNA from 1 species